GCGACGCCAGCGGACGCUGCGAUACUUUGUGCGCCGCCGCGGCCGACGCUCUCGCGCUCUGGUUGACCGUCCGUCGAGGCUCCUCCCGGCGCGUGUGUUCUGCAGGCGGGGCGGCGGACACCUUGCGCCCGCUGAAGGCCGAGGAGGGACGCCGCGGCGGUGGGCGAGUCUCCGACCCUGCGGUCAAGGCGCCGCCGUACUAACCUCAACUGGCGGCGUGACGGCGCGGAGCGGCGGCGGCCCGCGGGCGCAGAUGCGGCCGGGCUGGAGGAUGCGCCCGCGCCCGCCCCGGCCCGGCUAGCCUCACCAUGAGAGCGGCCUGCCGCUGCUGUCUCAUCGCCAUGGCCGCUCACGUCGUCCUAUCCCUCACUCCAGAACCCGGGACCGCCUCCAGCAGCAGCGCGGCGACCACGGCGACGCCCGCCGGCAGCCUGAGC